rnacentral:rRNA from 1 species
UGGGGAAUUUUGGACAAUGGGGGAAACCCUGAUCCAGCCAUCCCGCGUGUGCGAUGAAGGCCUUCGGGUUGUAAAGCACUUUUGGCAGGAAAGAAACGUCAUGGGUUAAUACCCCGUGAAACUGACGGUACCUGCAGAAUAAGCACCGGCUAACUACGUGCCAGCAGCCGCGGUAAUACGUAGGGUGCAAGCGUUAAUCGGAAUUACUGGGCGUAAAGCGUGCGCGGGCGGUUCGGAAAGAAAGAUGUGAAAUCCCAGAGCUCAACUUUGGAACUGCAUUUUUAACUACCGGGCUAGAGUGUGUCAGAGGGAGGUGGAAUUCCGCGUGUGGCAGUGAAAUGCGUAGAUAUGCGGAGGAACACCGAUGGCGAAGGCAGCCUCCUGGGAUAACACUGACGCUCAUGCACGAAAGCGUGGGGAGCAAACAGG